AGCUCCAAUAGCGUAUAUUAAAGUUGUUGCAGUUAAAAAGCUCGUAGUUGGAUUUCGGGGCGGCCUGGCUGGUCCGUCGCGAGACGAGUACUGGUCAGCCGCCCUUCCUCUCGAAAGCCCCGACUGCUCUUCACUGCAGUGGUCGGGUAGUUCGGGACGUUUACUUUGAAAAAAUUAGAGUGUUCAAGGCAGGCUCGCCAGCUUGAAUACAUGAGCAUGGAAUAAUGGAAUAGGACUACGGUCCCUAUUUCGUUGGUUUGACGGACCGAAGUAAUGAUUAAGAGGGACAAUUGGGGGCAUCCGUAUUUCGUAGUCAGAGGUGAAAUUCUUGGACCUACGAAAGACGAACAACUGCGAAAGCAUUUGCCAAGAGUGUUUUCAUUAAUCAAGAACGAAAGUA
rnacentral:rRNA from 1 species